ensembl:lncRNA
AUCCACUUCCUGGAUGUACACAUUGAGUUGUUUUAUUUAUUAAAUAAAGAACAAUUUAAAGAAAGGGAGCAUAUAAAAGAAAGAAGGCAUGUCAUGGACCUUCUGAAGAGAAAAAUGUUUUACAGUUCACAAAUAAAAUAUCCUAGUGGUAAAGAAGAAAACAGAGUAAAAACUGUAUUACUGACUGGUGGAUCAAGCCAAAUACUGCAAAAAAUCUAUUUCUUAAUCACUAUUUUCUCUUAUAUAAAAUAAAUAAAUGUCAAUUUAUGUUGCUUUAAGGUUAUUUUUGGCAUUUUUAUACUGGACAACUAUAAAAUACUGAGUAAGAAGACGAUUUCUGCAGUAAUUGCUCACUUGAAAACUCUUCCUAUGGAAGCCCAGUCCAAAUCUUGGAGCCAAAGGGUGAUAACAUUUCCAGAAGAAUGGUCACAUGAGGGAAGACAGUUAAUUCAUGAUGAGCUUCUCCAUAUAUCUCUCUCCUUUAUUUAUUGAGUAGUGAGCAGGCAAAUUAAAACAGACCUUUGUGUGUAGUGAUGUCAUGCUACAUUCAAAAAUAUCCAGCUCAAUAUGUCCAGGUUAGCGGGAGUAGUGCGAAUCACUGUGGAAAAGGAGGAUACUCACAAUCCGGGGAUUUCUUUUUUGCAAGUCAUGUUUUCCAAAAGACAAAACAAGCAGUGCACACAUAUCCACAGUGAGGUCACAGGGAGGUCAUUGUCAAAUAUAAAAGAGUAAGAAAAGUGAAGAUUCAGUAAAAAGAAUGUUUUACUUUUCAUCAAUAUGAAUAGAAAGUCACGUUGUGUGAUACGAAAGUGUCUUGAACAAAAGGCUGUUCCCUGAUCCAGUUUAAAUGUACAAGACUCGACGCAGCUUUAUUGUCUGAAGUGCUUGGUUUAAUCUCACACAGUUCUCCAAAUUCAUUACAUGUAAAAUACUGGAGAGAUAAAAGAUUGCAGCUGCGUUUUACACAGUGCUUGUGGGACAACAUAACAAGACAUUAGCACAAUUUCACUGAUCCAACUGAAGGGAAUGAGAAGCUUUUUGAUAUUAAACAUUCUUCUUAGGAUCAGCAUUCUCACCUUAUUAUUUGUCUUUGACGGGCAGAACGGCAAAAAAAAAAAAAAACUCAAGAUUACAUUAUUAUGAAUGUCGUUUUACAUAUUGCAGUGCAUUCUACAAAACUCUUAAUUACAUUAGGGUGUAAUAUGUGACAUCACACAAAAAAAAUAAUUUCAUCGAAAGAUGUAAAUACACAGUAAAGAUAUAGUCCUCAGUAGAUGGGUGAAAUCAAAGAAUUGUAAAUUGAUUGCUUUAUAUCAAAAAACGUGUUUUGGCCUAAAGCUCUUGUGAUAGAUUUGUAUUGUCAGUAACAUGAUGGGCCUCCAAGCUCUCUACUUCCUGCUUUGUGAGGUGGGGGUGCUCUUGUUGCCGGAACGGCGGACAGGAACCUUCGAAACAGGGAUUCGAGUGCGUUGUGGGGCAUCAGACUUUUUAGGAGGGGUAGUUGAAGUGGGGCUAAGAUUGGAAGACAGUGCACCUUGGCUGGAAGAAUGGGAAGGUGGUGUUUGCCUCACACUAAUAGGGAUUUUGGAAUCUCGAGGUAGGCUGGUGCUGCCUUUCAUGGAACGAAAUGAGGAAUUAGUGGAAGAUGAGCAUUUUGGGGAAGGCAAGUUCAUUUUUAGAUCACCUGCAGAUUUUGUUGGUGAACUCACGUCUUCAUCUGAGCCAACAGCGCUAGGGCUGUCGGGAUCAUAGAGGUCAUAAAGUGCAUCUCCAGAGCAGCUGUCCCUCAGCAAACCUUCCCGACGUAGGAAGGUGCUAUCCUCAUCCUCUGGGCCAGGUGUGGGAGAAUCCCAGUAGCCUUCAUCACUUGGUGGGGCAUCCUUGAGUUCUUUAUCGACAGGGGGAGGUGAGGGAAGUGAGGGUUGCUGCUUUCCCAUCUUGCUACCUCCACUCACAGGGAUCUUACUGAGACCAAGCACCUUUACUUGAGGUGGCCUCUUCUCAAGGCGGGUUGGUGCAUGAUGCAAGACAGGCUCUGCACGUCGUAGGGCUGGGGAGUCUUCACCCUUCUGGGGCAACAUAUGCCAUAGACCCUGCAUGUCAGCAUCAUCAACCGCCUCUGGACUAGCCAUUUCCUCCCCUCCACCCAUGUAGGCAACAACUCCACUACCUUGUGGCUUUUUAGGGGCUGGACGUGGUCUUUGGUGGGCUGGCAUGUAGCAAGAAGCAUGGAUAGAUGUAAUACUACUGACCUGAGGAGGAAGUGGAGGCUUGGCAGGAGAGCAUCUCUCUGAAUUUGUCCCCGCACCACUUAAUCUGCGACCCAUGCAUCCCCCGCUACUGCUACCAGUUCCACUGCUCGUGGCACUUCCCCCAUUCCCAGAAUCCUCCUCUGGAUCAGCAAUGAUGUCACCACAGCCUGUUAAAGAAUCAAAGCUUUUUAGUGAAGUAACAUCGGUGAACAUGGAACAUAGGCGAUCCACAGACUGCUCAGAUUGUGGGUCGGCUGUGCUGUGCUCCAUUGGAGGGGUCAAAGCGCAUGUCGGAAUGGAGGAAAAGUGUGUCGAACUGCUGUGUUUAUCAGGUUGGAGCCCUUCUGUCUGGGCUUGGAGUGGAGAAGGAGCUGGAGAUUCCUCAGUUACUGUAUGUUGUUGUGAAAGAGGAGGACCACAGUUACCAAACUCCACUUCAUUAGUACCUUGUAAUUCCUGCACAGACAUUGCCUUCCAUUUCUCAGCUUCCCCUGGGAGAGGAGGCUCCUCAAACACUUGCGGCAGGGGCUCAAGAGUCAGUGUCAUGUCCUGCUCCAUUUUCACAUUGCCAGAGCAGGACGAAAGUAUUAGGUCUCCCUCCUUCACCUCCUUGGCCACUUCCAAUGAGUCCUCUUGAACCUGGGGCUUCCGCCGCCAACGCAUACUGCUGAACAGCCCCUUAAGUCCUCGUCCUCGUCGUGCCACUGUAGUAGUUCCAUCUCCUGCACGGCUGCUCCGGCGCAGUAAAGAGAAGAAGCUGAAAGACUUGGUGAUGGAGCUGCGGAGGGGGGCAGUUGACACACCAUCUGGCGAGCCAGCGUGGAGCUGGUCGCUACUGGCAGAUUCCUCUUUCUGGUGGCCAUCAAGUUCUGAAGGAGUGUCCGUUAUUAAGCCAUCAUGGGUUUUGCUCCUAACAAGCUCCAGUGUCUUGCCAGCAGCUUUACCGGUGGACUCCCCUUUGUUCUUGACAGAGAAGAUGCUUGGCAUGCUGCUGCCGGACUUACGCUUGCCGAACAGCUUGAAGGCGGUUUUGUUGAGCUUUCCUGCUGCCUGAGGUUCACAUGGAGGCGGUUCACUGCAUUCGUUUUGAACCUCCAUCGCUGCCACUAUCUCUACUGCACCCUCUGUUUUUCUUUCUUUCUUCUUCUCCCUUUAUUUUACCCUGUCUCUAACUGCUUCUCUCCUUUUCCUCUCCCUCGCCACUUCUAUUCGCUGCCUUUGCUUGUUGGUGUUCUCCCUGCUUCGCUCUCUUUCUCUCUCACUGGUGGCUGCGCCUGACAGUCUCUAUGGUAACUGGGAGGGUUAAGCAGCUUUCGUCAGCGCUGGAGGCGAGCCAGCACUUUUUUCUCCGCCCCCACAUCUCACCCCCCCUGUACACACAAACACACCCUCAUCC